ensembl:rRNA 5S_rRNA 5S ribosomal RNA
GCCUACAGCCAUACCACUCUGAGAGCUCCUGAUCUCGUCUGAUCUCAGAAUCUAAGCAGGGUCGGGCCCAGUUAUUACUUGGAUGGGAGACCACCUGGAAAUAUUGGGUGAUGUAGGCU